rnacentral:lncRNA from 1 species
AGAAGAGAAGCCGAGGGAGAAACCGCCUGUUUUUCCUCUGGGUGAGCAGCCCGGGCUGAUCGGGCCUUGGGGAUGCUCCGAACCCUGUUCUAACAUUUUGGUUCCAUUAUCUGACUUGGUCUUUGAAGCAUCCUUUUGAAGAUCCUACAGUUCAGGAAGCAGAGAACUCACUAAGAAUUGCCGGGAAGGCCUUCUGGAGGCGGGGGGCAGUCCCUGAGUUGGGUGGUGAGGGACUCAAAGGAUUUGGGGUAUUUAUUUUGCUUUAGUGGCUAUUGAACCCGGGGGCUCCCUUCCACUGAGCCUCAUUCCCAGCCUUUUUUGGUUUUUGAGACAGGAUCUUGCUAAGUAACCCAAGCUGACCUCAAACUUGUGAUUCUCCUGCCUCAGCCUCCGGUGUUGCUGGGAUUACAGGCUGUGCGGCUGCUCCAAGCCUGGGGUAUGAAAGCGCUGGAGGAGGAAUCUCGGGGAUCAUGGGACACAGGGGGAUCUUUGGAGGAGGAAUUUCUGCUCGUGUUGAUGCUGUUUAGUUCUACCAGUUUUCAUUGAGCAUCUACUAUGUGUCAGCACCAAAGAGAUUGCAGAACUCUGCAGCAGCCCUGGAAACACACAGCGGGGCGAUGUGAGGAGGGGAGUUUGUUUCUGUGUCACAUCCAAAGAGCAGUGGCUGUGACUUUUGUACUUUCUAGCUGAAUAGCUCUGGACAGGUCAUACAACUUCUCUAAGUGAGCCUGGUUACCUAUUUGGUAAAAGAGAUUAGAACCGCUUCACCCCCAUAAGUUUGUUCUGUGAAUCAAAUGAGACCAGGUCUGGGGAGCUCUUUGUACCUACCCAAAGGGGACGGUUCUGCUUUGAUGAAGAUGAAAGCCAUUCGCAGCAGCCUAGGAGUCUGGGGCAGGAGGAUUGUAAGUUGGAGCCCAGUGAGACCCUGCCUAAAAAUACAAAUUAAAAAGGGCUGGGGAUGUAGCUCAGAGGUAGAGCACUCCUGGGUUCCACUCCAGUACCGCAAAGCAAAGUUCCUUUCUUUUUUGUUUAUUUCUCUGUACCCACCUUUUGCCUCCUAAUGCAGGGCUGGGGCCAGGGCCGGGGCCAGGAAAUCACUCGGUUCUCAUCCUUGACUUUGCCCUCCUUUAUCUCUUCUCCCUUCCUCUCCACUCCCCAGCUGGAUGGACGGGGCUGGACAUGUGUGGCAAAGGAAUAAGGUCAGCUUAAGUCUUUUUUUUUUUUUUGAUACCAGGGAUUGAACCCAGGGGUGCUCAACCACUGAGCCACAUCCCCAGCCUUUUUUAAUAUUUAUUUUUUAGUUUUAAGUGGUC